CACUGUGAAGGAGUAGCAUAGGCAAAGGGUGAUGUAUGUUAAGUUGCUGCCUAUUUUGUAAAGCAGUAAUUUGAGAGGUUGGAGGAUAAGAAGAAAAGCAGCUAUGCGGCGGCAUGAAUUGUUAUCACAGCAAAGCUUACUCCAUUGGCUUUGUCAUUUACAUUUAUUCCAUUUCCAGUGGCUCAUCCCUUCUGCAAACUCACAGUGAGUAGUCAUCAUCAUCGCUGCUGAGGAUCCCGAUUCCAGCUGUUCCUGGUGUCUAGGCAAGAAACUCCCAGGUAACAACCAGAUGAAUCUCAAAACUGCAGCAAACAGAAAAAGUUUUGUCAGGAAACCAGGAGGGAAAUGUUUGUUGGGAGUAGAGAAUUGUUUCUUCCUGAAUGUGUCUUCUUGGGGUUUUUUGUUGUUGUUGGUUUUUUUGGUCAGCUUCUUCAAAAUAUGUACAUAUUUUUAAGAGGGUAACCAGGGUUUAGAUAUAACCAGUCACUACUUAAUUGUUCUCAAACGUUGUAUCUCAACCUAAAAUGAAUUGAAUGACUGUACUUUAUUUCACCUAUUACAAAUUUCUUUGUAGUCCCAUAUUAUGUUAUCCCUACAGCUAUUAGAUACAGUACCACUGUGAUACUGCCCUCCUGAUAUAGCAGUGUACAGUGAAGUCAAACCUACUGUGUGGGUCAUAAUAAAAAAGAUCUGUUUUUCUUUGGA